GUCUAUGGCUAUGACACCAUGAACAAGCCCAAUCCCUCCUGAUGUCGGAAGCUAAGUAAGGUUGGGCCUGGUUAGUACUUGGGUGAGAGACCACCUAGGAAGACUAGGUGCUGUAGGCA
rnacentral:rRNA from 1 species